UCGAACGGCAGCGGGGGCUUCGGCCUGCCGGCGAGUGGCGAACGGGUGAGUAAUGCAUCGGAACGUACCCAGUCGUGGGGGAUAACUACGCGAAAGCGUAGCUAAUACCGCAUACGCCCUGAAGGGGAAAGCGGGGGACCUUCGGGCCUCGCGCGAUGAGAGCGGCCGAUGUCAGAUUAGCUAGUUGGUGAGGUAAAGGCUCACCAAGGCGACGAUCUGUAGCGGGUCUGAGAGGACGACCAGCCACACUGGAACUGAGACACGGUCCAGACUCCUACGGGAGGCAGCAGUGGGGAAUUUUGGACAAUGGGCGCAAGCCUGAUCCAGCAAUGCCGCGUGCAGGAUGAAGGCCUUCGGGUUGUAAACUGCUUUUGUACGGAACGAAAAGACUCCUUUUAAUAAAGGGGGUUCAUGACGGUACCGUAAGAAUAAGCACCGGCUAACUACGUGCCAGCAGCCGCGGUAAUA
rnacentral:rRNA from 1 species